rnacentral:lncRNA from 1 species
AGUUCCCAUUCUAACCCGGCCCCAACCCAAUCCAAAAAAAACCUUUGAAUACUCCACUCUUUCUCAACCUCUCUCGAAUACCCCCUAACCAUAGCUGCCUUCCACCGUCUCCGACACAACUUCCCCGGAAUCUAUGGCUUCUCAGGCAAUAGAUGACAUAUACUUACCUCUUAUUACUCCCGUGUGCCUGAUGCUUGAUGGUUCGAGAUAGACCUUUGCCGACUCAAAGUUUCCGGCCAUCUCUGGCUUUGCUCCAGCAUAUCCUAGCCUCCUGAGCCUGAUUCCGACCUUAUCCGACUUAGAUCGGACCUUUUUCAAAGCCUUUCUCACUCUAGGGUUCCUCUAAAACCCUAGCUAUUCGAGCUUUUUCUUUGAUUUUUUAUAGAUCCGUUGUGUAUCUAUGCUAUGUGUGACUUUUCAAAUGAUUUCCCUAAAUUUUUCGUUGAAAUUACUUUCAAACCCCUUCUUUGCCGAUUUAGGGUUUUCUGGAAAAUGUUUAGGAGUUUUAUGAUUUUUCUUCUUUAUGUUGUCCUCUGCUGUGUUCUCGUAUCAUCUUUUGUAUGCUUCCCUUACUGUGGUCUUGUAGAUUUUUCUACUGUGUUUUCUCAUGUUCUUAUAUGUUUAUCGUACUAUAUUUUCCUAUAUGUUGUCCUGCUAUACCUUUCCUGGGGAUUCUUGUAUUUUCUACUAUAUUUUUCUUGCUAAGUUCUUAUGGUUCUUUGUCUUCCUUCUAGUGAGCCUUGUUUAGGGUUCUGCUAAGCAUGUUUCUCCUGCUGUUCUUAUCAGUAUUUGCUAGUGUGUACUUUGAAUCUUUCUACUGUGAUUGCAUGUUGCUUUGCUAUACAUCUUUUGAUCCAAUUGCUUGCUCUAUUUUGUGAUUUGCCCGAACUAGGAUUCUUGUUUCAAAACCCCAACUCUUUUAGUAUAAUUUUGGAGUUUCAUAUGAUUCUCACUUUUGAUAAACUCUUCUAAACUCUGCUAUUGGAUUUUAUGCUGAUUUACACGACAGUCUUCUUUCAUACUCACAUGCUCCUUAUAUAUGAUGAAUUUCCAUCUAAUUGGUUUUCAAAUUUGCAAAUUAGCAUAAACCUCCUUCUGAAUAUAACUUGAUUGAUUUCCUUCCAUCUUUUACUGAUUUCCUAGAUGAGUUGGCUUAGGUAAACCCUCCUUUAUUUUAUUGUCUUGGUUCAUUAAUACCAAAUUUCAAACCUUUCUGAUUUACUGGCUGUCAACUGAUUCUCUUGCCUUAUUUGCGCAAACCGUGUACUGCCAAGACCUUGUCCUUAAAUAACUUCUAUGUACUUGCCUUUAAUUUGGUGCUUUUAACAAAAAGGUUUGUUGAAUUUCUCUCCUUAAUUAGUUUGUACCGGUUGAAUCUGAAUCCCUUGAUUAAGGGGAGUCUUAUGUAAUUGAUUGACAAUCAGGCUUCUAUUAUUUCUUACCUUAUUUUCUCGUGGCUUUCACACUAUAAAUACAUGACUCUUUAACACAAGACGCACAGAGUUUUAACAAUCACACACGAUAAAACACACUUCAAACUACACAAUCACAAUUCUCUUCUAAACUUAUACUUAGAGUAUUCUUGCUUCUUGUCUGCACUUUGGCUUUUACAAG